GGAAGGAUCAUUACUGAAUUGUCAACGGGUUGUUGCUGGUCCUCGAACGGGGACAUGUGCACGCUCUGUUUACACAUCCACUCACACCUGUGCACCCUCCGUAGUUCUGUGGUCUGGGGGACCCUGUCUUCCUGCCGUGGUUCUACGUCUUUACACACACACUGUAAUAAAGUCUUAUGGAAUGUAUGCCGCGUCUAACGCAAUACAAUACAACUUUCAGCAACGGAUCUCUUGGCUCUCGCAUCGAUGAAUAACGCAGCGAAAUGCGAUAAGUAAUGUGAAUUGCAGAAUUCAGUGAAUCAUCGAAUCUUUGAACGCACCUUGCGCCCCUUGGCUAUUCCGAGGGGCAUGCCUGUUUGAGUAUCAUGAACACCUCAACUCUCAUGGUUCGCCGUGAUGAGCUUGGACUCUGGGGGUUUUGCUGGCCUGCGGUCGGCUCCCCUCAAAUGAAUCAGCCUCCCAGUGUUUGGUGGCAUCACGGGUGUGAUAAAUAUCUACGCUCGCAGUUGUCCGCCAGGUAACCUUUGGUGACAAAGGUUCGCUGGAGCUCACAGAUGUCUCUCCUCAGCGAGGACAGCUUUUUGAACGUUCGAUCUCAAAUCAGGUAGGACUACCCGCUGAACUUAAGCAUAUCAAUAAGCGGAGGAAAAGAAACUAACAAGGAUUCCCCUAGUAACUGCGAGUGAAGCGGGAAGAGCU
rnacentral:sRNA from 1 species